GAAGGAGAAGGAGAAGGAGAAGGAGAAGGAGAAGGAGAAGGAGAAGGAGAAGAAGAAGAAGAAGAAGAAGGAAGAAGAGGAGGAGGAGGAGGAGAAGAAGAAGAAGAAUAAUAAGAAUAAUUUUAUAGGCUGAUGGUAUGAAACCAUGGCCCAGAGAAGCAAAGCAGCUUGUCCAAGGUCAUAUAGCCAGCUAAUCGCAGGACCAGGCUGGGAAGAGUUUCACAACUCAGGCCAGUGCUGCCUCUAAUCUGUUUAGGUAUCUACUGAGUGACUCAGAACCAAAGCCAGUAAAUCCUUUAUGAGGUAACAAAGGACAGAUAUGAGGCACCUCAAAGUGGCAUGAAGAGGAAGUCCUCACAAGAUCUGGAGCCAGCCCCUAAAGAGACUUCAAUAACAGAAAAGUAAAAAUGGUCCAUAAAAGGGAAAAAGAUCAAUAUCAAAUGGUAAUGUAACUCUCCAAACAGUCGAGAGUCACACAAACAUAAAUUCAAAACAAAUAAUU
rnacentral:lncRNA from 10 species